GGGACUUAGUUUAACAUAGGACCCUAUGGGAAAUGCAUACAAAUGACUUCUUUUAGAGAACCACUGAAUGGAAUAAAACCAAACAUAGCAUGAAUGUUCCUUAUGGGGUGCUGACCAAGUGUUGUUACUUUGUAGCCGAUCCAUCAUCCAAGAUGGCCGCCAGCGGGGGACUUAGUUUAACAUAGGACCCUAUGGGAAAUGCAUACAAAUGACUUCUUUUAGAGAACCACUAAAUGGAAUGAAACCAAACAUAGCAUGAAUGUUCCUUAUGGAGUGCUGACCAAGUGUUGUUACUUUGUAGCCGAUCCAUCAUCCAAGAUGGCCGCCAGCGGGGGACUUAGUUUAACAUAGGACCCUAUGGGAAAUGCAUACAAAUGACUUCUUCUAGAGAACCACUAAAUGGAAUGAAACCAAACAUAGCAUGAAUGUUCCUUAUGGAGUGCUGACCAAGUGUUGUUACUUUGUAGCCAAUCCAUCAUCCAAGAUGGCCGCCAGCGGGGGACUUAGUUUAACAUAGGACCCUAUGGGAAAUGCAUACAAAUGACUUCUUUUAGAGAACCACUGAAUGGAAUGAAAUCAAACAUGGCAUGAAUGUUCCUAAUGUGGUGCUGACCAAGUGUUGUUACUUUGUAGCCGAUCCAUUAUCCAAGAUGGACGCCAGCGGGGGACUUAGUUUAACAUAGGACCCUAUGGGAAAUGCAUACAAAUGACUUCUUUUAGAGAACAACUGAAUGGAAUGAAACCAAACAUUGCAUGAAUGUUCCUUAUGCCGUGCUGACCAUGUGUUGUUUCUUUGUAGCCCAUCCAUCAUCCAAGAUGGCCGCCAGCAUGGGACUUAGUUUAACAUAGGACCCUAUGGGAAAUGCAUACAAAUGACUUCUUUUAGAGAACCACUGAAUGGAAUGAAAUCAAACAUGGCAUGAAUGUUCCUAAUGUGGUGCUGACCAAGUGUUGUUACUUUGUAGCCGAUCCAUUAUCCAAGAUGGCCGCCAGCAGGGACUUAGUUUAACAUAGGACCCUAUUGGAAAUGCAUACAAAUGACUUCUUUUAGAGAACCACUGAAUGGAAUAAAACC
rnacentral:lncRNA from 1 species